rnacentral:lncRNA from 1 species
UUCAUGGUGAGAGUUCUUUUAGGAGAUGAGGAAGCUGGUUUCGUUUUGUCGCUUAGAACCAGAGUAUAUGGUGGUGGAUGAUUCAUUUUUAUGGUUUUGUUGGAGUAGUUUGUUGGAACCGGAUAUGAGGGUAUAUAUGGUGGCAAUGACGUUAAGAAUUUGUUAAUACGCUUUAGUCAAUAACGUAAAGAAGAGGAGUGUAUUGAAAGGGGCAUUCAUUUUCUACAACCUGAAACCUUUCUAAAUUUGAAAAACGUUUCUAAUUUACUACAACUUAAUUGUUAAUAGGUUUUUGUAUUUCACAAGGGUCUAACUUGAGUAUGUUUUGUUGUUAUCAGUUUUCUGUUAAUCAUAUUCCGAUAGAACAGUUCCCAUUCAAAAUAGUAUUG